UGCUGCUGGUCUCCACGUUCAGUAUAUUUCUUAUAUCUCUCUCCUGCUACUGGAUUCCUGUAGUUGAGUGCCUCGAUGGUCCACGAGUCCACGACCUGUUUCUGGAUCUAUUCAUGAUGUAGUAGAGGCUUUGUAAAUUUUUUUCAGUCAGGAAUCUGUUCAUGUAUCUGAAUCUAGCAGCACAAAUCUCUACUAAACUCAGGAAUAGUCAGAGCUGUUAAUAAUGUGGAGCAUCAUGCUCCAUGUGUAUGUUUUUGGUUUUCUUCCUCUUGUUCACUCACUUACCAAGGUCAAGUUCAAUGAUAUGCAAAGUAUUCACCUCCAGGUAGGGGAAUCGUGGUUGCAGAAUUGCUUUGUGCCAUCCACUAAAUUUCGUUUUGCUUUGUCCCUAACAAUUGCAGAGAUCAUGCUUGGUGGCUUUACUUCUAUGAGGUGGUGAAUAUCCACGGCAAUUGUGAAGGCAAAAUCUCCAUCGAAGAAGAGUGGAAUCCACCUGAUCCAGUCCGUCUGUGCUGAUCGCCGCAUCCUUUGCUAUCUCUGAAUGGCCAAACAAUUUGAUUAUUUUUGUUCCUUAGUCUACUGUUUAUGAAUAAUGGCCAAGGUGUUCGAGGGAGGAUAAACUCCAGAAGACUGCUUGGCCCUGUUUGACAGGCCUAAGAGAAAUUUCAGGCUAGCAGAACUCAGAAAGGCUCUUAACAAAAUUUGCAGAUCGUGCCAUUCAUGCUGUUGGGCGAUCAUUGGGCAUCACUUUCCAUUGUGCUGAUGCAGAUGUCAACUUUGCUCAUCCAUCCAGCCGUGUAAUCCAGGCCACCCAAGAUGCGGAGGAUGGGUCUUUGUGAAGAGAGGCAAUUACAUCAGAAGCAUAAGAAUAUUUCAGCAUCAUCUGCAGUCAUGGCUUCCCCGAAAAGCUCAGUCCUCAAGCAUGGCUCUGACCGUCCGUGGCACGGCGAGGUGACAGUCUUCGAGGAGAAGAAGGCCAACAAGUGCGCUGGAUCAUCUGCAUGAUUCAUGUCCAAGAGCGACCUGGAGGCGUUGUCGUACCUCCGCGACAACUCCUUAAUCGUCGAGUAUUGUAACCCGGGGUCACGCCGUCUGUGGAGGUCAAAACAAACGCCAACUGGAAUUACAAUCGCAGUACAAACUGCAAUCUCUUGCUUUCUGCUAUGUCAUUUUCUUUGCUAUAGCUAUCAACAAACCAGCUUGAUAAUUAUAUCUUGUUUUAAUUUUGAAACCUGUUAAAAAUUCUAGGUGUGAAUAGAGUACUAGAGAACUGGAACUGCAAGUCGGGCAAAACGUACAGUUAAACUCUCAUUGGAGUUGCAAUUUGCAAUGUCCAUAUGCAUGGUUUGUUUUUGCCUA